rnacentral:lncRNA from 1 species
CAGAAAUCAUCUGGUCCAACUCUGUCACUUUGCAAAUGAGAAACCUGAGUUGUAGAGAGAUUCAUUGGCUUGCCCAUGGUCACGCAGGCAGUCAGUGGCAGAGCUGGGACUGGAUUCUUCGUUUCCUGCCUCUUUAGAUACUUGCGGAUAUUUAAAUCAGACUGUAAAAACAGGGUUUUCCUCAAGUGCCUUUUCCACUGAAACACUCACAGGAUAGCAAUAUUCUUACAGAAAAGGGGCUCUCUUACAUGUCCCCACAUCAUUCUGGGGCUUCAUGGGAUACACGCAGGAUAAUGCCAACAAAAGAGAAGCCAGAGACCCCACUGAAUUAACUAACAGGUGUGGAACAAACUGAAAGAGCAAAGAAAGGUGGCAUUUGUAAAUAUCUUGAAUAAUUUUGCUGUGAGUCAACUAAUUUUAGGUGAGCAUACAUAUAGGCAGGGGCGAUUUAAGUUUUUAUAGUCACGUAUCUAUUUGAGAGUGAAAUGACAAUUACAGAAUUUUUUAUAGGAAUGUACUAAAGAGGAAGCUGGCACCAAAGGGAAGAGGACCUCAUGGAAAAACUGAUGGACACCGAAAGUAAUUCCCCAGAGAGGAUUUAAAGGAAGAGAGAAAUAUGUCAUAAGAAGAGAGUUGCCAUCCUGGCUAACACGGUGAAACCCCGUCUCUACUAAAAAUACCAAAAAUUAGACGGGUGUGGUCGUGGGCACCUGUAGUCCCAGCUACUCAGGAGGCUGAGGCAGGAGAAUGGCAUGAACCUGGGAGCUUGCAGUGAGCCAAGAUCAUGCCACUGCACUUCAGCCUGGGUGACAGAGCGAGACUCCAUCUCAAAAAAAAAAAAAAAGAAGAAGAAGAAGAGAGUCGCCAGUCUAGCCCACAUUUAAAGGGCCUGGGAAAAAUGAUAAUUCAAUAGCAGUGAGUACACCUAAUUCAAGAUUGUGGUUUCUUCUCUAAAUGGAACAAGAACACCUUAAACAAUAGAUGAUUCCAGCACUGGAGUAGAAAUAAAUUAUAUUUAAAAAUAUGAGCCUGGAUGAUGUCACCAAGAGAGUGAGUAUCAUGGGACUGGAGGAGAGGAAUUAGGACGGCACCCUGAGAAGCUUCAAGAAGCUAAAGGAUAGGAAAGCAACCUGCCAAAGAGUCGGAGAAGAAGCAUCCUGUGAAACAGGAGGAAAAACAAGAGUGAAAAAUAAUGAACGCAAUACCAGCAGCAUUUUCAGAGGAAGGAGCCAUAAGCUCAGUCAGAGGCUUCUGAGAUAACUGGUAAGAAGGGCCAGAAAAUUGAGCAUCAAUUUGGCAAGAAUAUUAUUGACCUUGAAAAGUAUGUUUUCAAAAGGGUGGUGGGCACACAAUCAACCCCUGGUAUGUACGUGUAUGUGUUUGUCUAGCAAACAUUAAGUUGCUGCUUAGGUUCUCACACAGACUAAGUGGAAAGUUGGAUUUCACCGGGUUUGGAAUUUUCCCAGGCAAGUGCAACAAAAGAGAAAAAGAUAUAGAGAGAAAGAAAGGUGGCUGUAGGAGUAUGUAAUGAUGCACCGUAAAAUAUAUCAUGAGUAAGGAAAGAAGAAAAUGGUUAAUACUGAGAAAAUAACAGGGCCCAUGGAAGAAACAACUCCAUGAUAUUUAAGAAUUGAUCCCAUUAGUAGUAAUGAAAUAAAUAGCUGAAAGGAUACAAUUUUUGAUGAGAGAAUUAGAUGCCUGAGGUCAAGAGCUCAGGGGUCGUUCAGAAACAGUGAUGAAAAUUCAAGUAGGUAGUCAUUGAUGAAGACAGAUGAGAUAGGGUGAAGGAAAAUAUUGAAAGACAGGCUGUUAAAGACCUGAGAGGACAAGGUUGAUGCAUCAUCCUUGUGGUUGAUGAAAUACUAAUAUUUUACUGUUAAUCAUUUCUUUCCCCACUAGUUGUUGGUAACAUACUUUUAAAAAGUAUCUUGUUCUAUACUAUGACCAAGGAUGGUCACAGUAGCAGGAAUUUUAAAAAGCAAAAAGUAAAAACAGUGAGUCAGAUGCCCAUUAACAACACAUGAGAGC